CAAUGAAGUCUGGAUCUUCUCCACUCUUCCUCUCUUUGCUUUCAUGAUUCUCAAUAACCACUCACUCUCAUUUAUACUAGUUCUCGAAUUGGCACAUAUCGAUCGACUGCGCUGUAUGUUAUGGAACCAGGAGGUAAGCAUUUUGUCUUGUUUUCCACCAGUUUCAUUUCUUGUGCUGCUCCAUCUCACUUAUUCAUGUCGAGUAGCGUAGCCGAUACAUCCCUAAUUGGAGCGCGCACACAGAAUCCAUGUGCACAGUGAAUAAAACUUGAUCAUCUCCCACAUAGACGAGCCAUUAUUGCAUGUAUUGGAUUUUGCACUGAGGCUUUUCCCUCAUUAUAUCAUACAAAGGUGGUCCACGGCCAGCUGAUCUGAGAUCGAGAAGAUCCUUUUGGGUAGAAAAAGGAGAUAUUUUACAGAUUAUUUAAUCCUUUUUAAAUAAUUAUUUUUAUAACUUUUCUUUACAUCUAUCUGGUUAGCAUCAACAGGAAAUCGUACAACGAGCAUGCAUCUAGAGGGCUCGAACUAGACUCCUCUUGAUCAAUCUCUAAGCAAAGCCAAUUGAUGCACGUUCCAUACGUGUGAACUGGCGUCGAAAUACACGAGGAUACUUCCAUAGGAUCUUGUCUGGCUUCGGAGGCAAUAUCGGGAACAGCAUCAAUUUAAGGAAAGUGUCUACACGCCUUGAAUGUAUGUGCUAGUCUUUCUCCAGAUUUAACCAUGAAGUCUGUCGUUGGGUUUGCAUUGCUAUACCACAAAGCCCACCGCUCGAAAACUGAGUCGGUUACCAGAAAGACCUGACAUCUUCACCUUGGGAGAUUGUCAAGGAGGAGUCCAAAUUCUAACACGUCAACAUAUCUAGUUGGACUCACAUUUACUCAGAAACUUAAGUUAAUGAGUUGUGAGUUAACUAUGAUAAUAUUAUCUACUCCAUGCCACACUAAUUCUCCGAUGUGGGACUUUAACACAACUCACACGUGCAACUCAAUAUUUACUUUCUUUUGUCGAUUCACUGGUUGAAGCAAAACUUUGACGAGGGAGAUAGUCUUAGAUGCAACAUAAGACAUUCCCGUCCUCCCAUACUGAUAUUUAUGUGCCAAGGUUGAUCGGCUCGGAAGAAAACUGGAAAAUACACAAUAUUUAGUAUGUAACGAUUUAUUUGGAUGAA